AUAAUUUUAGGGAUUGGGCCUUUGGACAAACUCUGAAUUCCUAAAGCUGCUCUUAGCUGAAAAAAAAGUUUGGUACCACUGAUUUUGAAGGUCCUCUUUCUAGGCAACGAAUAUUAUAAAAAAACAGAUGACGCUGUUCUCCAUGUUUUCUACCCCAGAUGUCAGAAGGUCUAGGCAACCUGCCCAUAUAGUUUCGGCCCCUUUACUCUAGAACAAUGGGAAGUACAUAGGAAGAGGACUUCAAGGAAAAUCAGUUGGAAAGAACACCUUCUUAUCUCCCUCCAUCAGAAUCAUUAACUCUACAGAAGCAGAAAUGGCCAACAGUCUCUGUAUCAUCAUUCUGACAGUCUCUUCUCUAUAUGACUUGCUGAAAGCACAAGACCUGUAUGAUCUCCCUGGUCACUCACAGAGAAGACAAACAAAAAGUGUUUUAUGAACAAUUCCAACAGAUUUCAGAAGAAGAAAUUGCAUCAGACAGGUGAGGCGGAAGCAGCUGGCAGACAAAAGUCCAAUAAACAACCAAUCCAACGAAAGAAAUUCAGAACAAGUCUGCUUCAGUAAUCCUGUGAAGAGGACUGGCAGGAAGAGGAGUGCCGCUUCAGAAAGAGAACAGGCCUCAUAUGCUUCAGACAGUCUUUGUAUUGAGGCUGUGGACCUUGGCCAUUCUCCCAGAAAUGAUGCAAUCCUGAUGAACAAGAUCUGCUGCCAGAGAAACAAUUGUUAACAGCCUAUGCAGACAGCAACUCAGCCAAGGAGCAAUCUCUGAUCAACUCUCUCCAUAAACCAACAGAACGCCAAAAUCUCUCUUCCUCAAUUUCAGUGUCUGACAAAACAUAAAGUGAACACAGUAUAUAUUAAGAUACAUAAGAACAAGCCAUUUUCUCAAAGGGUCCUUUUUCUUUUAAUUCCUUAGGCUGUACAAUAUCCAUUAUUAAAUUUCAGAUAAAAUACUGAACAUUUUUUACUUUUAUAAAUACAAUUAUCCAAGCACAUCAAUAGUAAUAACAUAAAUAUGAAAAUUUAUACUUAUUUUCCUCAUUCUCAUAAGAAAACCUUUUUGGGAGGCAGUGGCUUCCCUAAGCAUAAAAACUGCUCUGAAAUCUAUCAUCCAGCUAUAACAUUUCAAGUAAACACAAAUAUACAUACACUCUAAUUCAGAGACAGAAAGUAUAUUUCAUAGAUAUUUUUGAAAGUAGAUAAAAGUCAAUGUUAAAUAUUGGCAUCUAUCAGAGAAAAGAGAAAAUCUAAUCUUGCUUAGGCUGACAUAUAAGGUAUGCUGAUAACAACCACUUUUUUGCAGGGCAAC
rnacentral:lncRNA from 1 species